GCGUCUUCCAGACAACUUCAGAGGAGAGUUCACAGGUGAUCAAAGGAUCCACUGCUCACAGGUGUCCAAGCAUAUUGUAGAGAGGAGUUCAGAGAAACUGUUCUCAAAACAGCUGACCAGCAGCCUUGUGAAGCAGAAGG